AGAGUUUGAUCAUGGCUCAGGGUUAACGCUGGCGGCGUGCCUAACACAUGCAAGUCGAACGGUUCUAAGCGCGAGCUUAGGAUAGUGGCGGACGGGUGAGUAAAAGGUAGGAAUCUACCCCUUGGACGGAGAUAGCUACUGGAAACGGUAGGUAAACUUCGAUAAGCCCGAGAGGGGAAAGUGGUGAGACAGCCGAGGGAUGAGCCUACUCUCCAUCAGGUAGUUGGUGAGAUAAAAGCUUACCAAGCCGAUGACGGAUAACCGGUGUGAGAGCAUGAACGGUCACAAGGGCACUGAGAGACGGGCCCUACUCCUACGGGAGGCAGCAGUGGGGAAUCUUGGACAAUGGGCGAAAGCCUGAUCCAGCGACGCCGCGUGGAGGAAGAAGUCCUUCGGGAUGUAAACUUCUGAACUAGCCGAAUAAAAGGCCUGUGGACACACAGGAGAAGAAAGUAGGCUAGGAAAAGUCCCGGCUAACUACGUGCCAGCAGCCGCGGUAAU
rnacentral:rRNA from 1 species